rnacentral:lncRNA from 1 species
GUAACUUCUUAGACAAAGCCUAGAAACAGUCUCAGGACAAUAACAAUUCUAUUCAAGAAAGAAUCUCCCAACAUUUCUUCUAUCUCAAUCUCAACUGCAUCUGCCUGUGAACUUCCAACUUACCAAAGCUCUGUAUCUUCUGACAGUGACAAAGGCUUCUUCCAUGGUUGGUGCAUCAUAGCUGGGAAACAGGGAUUCAAAAGACCCAGGCUGUUCCCUACAUAUGUUUCCUCCUCCGACAUCAGUUCAUCAGUCAACCAAGUCAAGUGAGAGUGGAGGCCAUGUAUUCCCUCUUAUUCUUGGGCACUCUCCUCCAAGGAGGAAAAGGCCAGGAGGUCCUGUUAGAGGAUGCACUCUGAGAGCCCGGGCUCCCUAAGGUGUGAGAGUUCUAAACAGCAGGUGUAGACUUUCAGGAGUGAGGAAUGAGGCAG